rnacentral:rRNA from 1 species
UACGUAGGCAGCGAGCGUUGUUCGGAGUUAUUGGGCGUAAAGCGUGCGUAGGCGGUUUUGUGAGUUUGGUGUGAAAUCUCCCGGCUCAACUGGGAGGGUGCGCCGAAAACUGCAAGGCUGGAGUGUGGGAGAGGUAGGCGGAAUUCCGCGUGUAGCAGUGAAAUGCGUAGAGAUGCGGAGGAACACCGAUGGCGAAGGCAGCCCCCUGGGCUGACACUGACGCUCAGGCACGAAAGCGUGGGGAGCAAACAGG